GUCUCCACUUCCCCCUUGAAGAAGCCUCUUUCUGUUGCAGGAAGACCAUUGUAGAUUUCCGCCUGUCUCUCUAACACCACCCCCCACCGCCGGGCUGUCCCCUCCCAGAUGCCAUGCUUGGCAGAACUUCAAAGAUGCAGCCCAGAUUUUGGAAAGGGGAAGGUGUACAAACUCCACAUGAGGAAGUGCUACUUUUCAUUAUCUGGAUUGCACCAGGCCCAUUAAUAACUCAGAUACUGCAACCUGAGGCACUGAGACAGAGUCUGUUCAUCCAGCAUUGAAGCAGAAAUGGCCUGCUCCUAUUUUCCAUGUCUCUACACAGCUGAAGAGAUGACGACAAAAAAAACAGUCCCUAGGCCGAGACUCAAACAACAAUUGUAACGGCCACUCAAGUUACCAAAGUUAGCAUGUGUUCAACAGAAUUACUUGGAUCCAAAUGUCCAUCUCUUUAAUUAAAACUGUGACCUUAACCCUUAA